rnacentral:rRNA from 1 species
UACGAAGGGGGCUAGCGUUGCUCGGAAUCACUGGGCGUAAAGCGCACGUAGGCGGCUUUUUAAGUCAGGGGUGAAAUCCUGGAGCUCAACUCCAGAACUGCCUUUGAUACUGAGAAGCUUGAGUCCGGGAGAGGUGAGUGGAACUGCGAGUGUAGAGGUGAAAUUCGUAGAUAUUCGCAAGAACACCAGUGGCGAAGGCGGCUCACUGGCCCGGUACUGACGCUGAAGUGCGAAAGCGUGGGGAGCAAACAGGG